GCAUGCAUUUAUGUGUGUAUAUGUGUGUAUAUCUAUGUAUACACAGAUGUGUGUGUGUGUGUAUAUAUAUGUAUAUCAGAUCAAAUGAAAUUAUCCGAACUACUUAAAAACAAACAUAAAUCCCCCUUUAUUUUAAUAGCCGUUUGUUAAUGUAGCCGUACGGGACAGAUGUGGGAUGCGCACAGCGGCCGGUUCCGAUUCCGACACUCGGAGGUGCCGCCGCCGCCGCCUCCAGCGCUGCGCAUCCCCGCUCUCCGUCCCCCCCCCACCCGGAUAACGAAGGGUUUUCUGUCUCUCCCCGUUGCCGUGAGGGGUCCCGAGAGAUCGGCGGCGUCUCCCCUCGGUGCCGUUUGUCGAUGCUGUUUAUUGGGUUCGGGGUCACCCCGCUGUUUGUUGGGUCUGGGCCCCGCCGCGCUGCACCGCCCGGCUGUGAUCGGCUGCUGCGCCCUUUGCCUUCACCCCCUUUUUCUUUUCUUUUUUUUUUUUUUCUUGUCCUCUCUUCUGCCAUUUGCGUUAUUUGUUUUCCUUAUAGUUCCCUUUCUUUUUCCCUUUUCCUUCCCCCCCUCUUUUUUUUUUUUCCCCCCCCACUUUUCCACCCUUUCUUCUCAUUUUCUAUUUUCCUGGUAUUUUGCUUUCUUCCCCCCUUUUUAUUUCCCCUUCCUUUCCUCCUCUUCUUCCAUUUUAAUUUCUUGUGUUACCUUUAUUUUCUUUUCCUCCAUACAUCAAUUUCCUUUUUCCUUUUCCGUUUCCUUUUCCUUUUUUUCCCCUUUUUUUUCCUUUUAUUAUUAUUUUCUUUUAAUUUCUUUUUCUUUAUUUUCUCUUUUAUUUUUUCCUCUUCUCUCUUCUUUCCUUUCCUUUCCCCGUUUCUUAUUCCCUUCCCUUUAUUUCGUUGAUUUCCUUUUCCUUCCUCCUUCCCUUUUCCUUUUUAUUUUCCUUUCUUUUUCUUUUCCUUUUUCUAUCUUUUCUUUUUUUCUUAUUCUCUUCUCUUUAUCCCUUCUUUUUUUUCUUUCUUCCUUCGUUUUUCUCUCUUUCUCCCUUCUCUUUUCGUUUCCUUUUCCCCUCCCCUUUUUUGUCAUUUUCUAUUUUUUCCCUCUCCUUUUCUCAUUUCCUUUCUUUUCCCCCUUUCUUUUCCUUUUCUCUUUUCCUUUCGUUUCCCCUCCCUUCUUUUCUUUUUCUCUGUUCCUUUCUUUUUUUCCCCCAUUUUAUUCUCUUCUCUUUUCCCCCCUCUUCUUUUCCAUUUCCUUUCUUUUCCCCUUUUCUUUUCUUUUUCUAUUUCUUUUUUUUCCAUUUUAUUUUCUUUUCCCCUUCUCUUUUCCUUCCCUUUUCUCUUCUCUUUCUCCCUUCGUUUUUCCUCCCUUCUUUCCCUUUCUUUUUUCCCUACCACCUUUUCUCCCCUUUCCUUUCCAUUUUCCUUUUUUCCCUUUCCUCCUCCCCUUUUUCCUUCCCACUCCCUUCUCCCUUCCAUCCUUCUCAUUAACCAUUCCCCUUUCCCUCCUCUCUUCCUUCCCUUUUCCUUUUUCCAACCUCUUUUCCCUCCCUCACCCUUCUCCCCCUCACUCUCCCCUUUCCUUCCCAUCCCCGUUCUCCUCCCCCCCACUUCCCAUCUCUCCAUCUGGGAUGGCAGGAGCUCGAAGCUCCGCGCGAUGCCGGCGUUGCUGAGCCGUUUUCCCCUCCGUCCCCGCAGAAAUCCCGCAGUGCGCCGGCUGCAGCCAACACAUCCUGGACAAAUUCA
ensembl:lncRNA